UACGUAGGGGGCAAGCGUUGUCCGGAAUCAUUGGGCGUAAAGGGUGCGUAGGCGGGUCUUUAAGUCAGGGGUGAAAUCCUGGAGCUCAACUCCAGAACUGCCUUUGAUACUGAGGAUCUUGAGUUCGGGAGAGGUGAGUGGAACUGCGAGUGUAGAGGUGAAAUUCGUAGAUAUUCGCAAGAACACCAGUGGCGAAGGCGGCUCACUGGCCCGAUACUGACGCUGAGGCACGAAAGCGUGGGGAGCAAACAGG
rnacentral:rRNA from 1 species